rnacentral:rRNA from 1 species
UACGGAGGGUGCAAGCGUUAUCCGGAUUCACUGGGUUUAAAGGGUGCGUAGGAGGGCAGGUAAGUCAGUGGUGAAAUCCCCCGAGCUUAACUUGGGAACUGCCGUUGAUACUAUCUGUCUUGAAUACCGUGGAGGUGAGCGGAAUAUGUCAUGUAGCGGUGAAAUGCUUAGAUAUGACAUAGAACACCAAUUGCGAAGGCAGCUCGCUACACGAAUAUUGACUCUGAGGCACGAAAAGCGUGGGGGAUCAAACAGG